UGAGGGCCGGCCGGUAGCGGAAGCCGUGUUCGCCACUCAAAGCUCUUCCAGCUGGUCACUCCAGCCUCCUGGGACUUUGCCUCACCUGAUCGCCGAGCUCCUGGCCGGGGGUGUCUGGGGAUGCCGCUCGGCCGCUUUCUGCGAGGAGCUUAACCCGCCCCGCUGCCGCCCGGAUGGGACCGCCGGAGUGCGGCUGAAGUCUCCAGUGAAUAUUGAAUUGCUGAGAAAUUUGGGGAAAGACCAGCUGAAGUUCCCAUUCCAUGGAUCCCUUGGGUGCCCCUUCCCAGUUUGUGGAUGUGGAUACGCUACCCAGCUGGGGCGACUCAUGUGAAGAUGAAUUAAAUACUUCCGAUACUGCAGCUGAAACAUUGCAAGAAAAUACUGUUAGAUCACCUUUUCUUUACAACAAGGAUAUCAGCGGGAAAGUGAUUCUUUGGAAAGGAGACGUGGCAUUACUGAACUGUACGGCCAUUGUGAAUACCAGCAAUGAAAGUCUUACAGAUAAGAACCCUGUGUCAGAGAGUAUCUUCAUGCUCGCAGGACCCGAUUUGAAGGAGGACCUCCAGAAACUUAAGGGUUGCCGGACAGGUGAAGCAAAAUUGACAAAAGGAUUUAAUCUAGCUGCCCGGUUCAUCAUUCACACAGUGGGACCUAAGUACAAGAGCCGCUAUCGCACCGCUGCUGAGAGCUCCCUGUACAGCUGCUACAGAAACGUGCUUCAGCUGGCAAAAGAGCAGUCAAUGUCCUCUGUGGGAUUCUGUGUCAUCAAUUCUGCAAAACGAGGUUAUCCUUUAGAGGAUGCAACACACAUAGCACUUCGCACUGUAAGGAGAUUCCUGGAGAUUCAUGGGGAGACCAUUGAAAAAGUAGUAUUUGCGGUCUCUGAACUUGAAGAGGCUACUUACCAAAAGCUGCUACCUCUGUACUUCCCAAGGUCAUUAAAGGAGGAAUGUCGAUCAUUGCCAUACCUACCUGCAGAUAUUGGAAAUGCAGAAGGGGAGCCUGUGGUACCUGAACGACAGAUUAGGAUAAGUGAAAAACCUGGUGCCCCGGAGGACAACCAAGAAGAGGAGGCUGAAGGCUUGGGAGUAGAUCUCUCUUUCAUCGGCUCUCAUGCUUUUGCUCGAAUGGAAGGAGAUAUUGAUAAGCAGAGAAGACUGAUCCUUCAGGGCCAGUUAUCAGAGGCAGCCCUGCAGAAGCAGCAUCAGAGAAAGUGUCUUCUAAAGCAAUUCCGAAUAAGUCCUUUUUCAAGCAUAAAGAAAAGCAGCUUAUGUGCUUCUGGUUAUAAUCGCUGGUUGUGUCAAGCAAGAUCUGAGGAUCUAUCUGAUAUUGCUUCUCUAAAAGCCUUAUACCAAACAGGUGUUGAUAACUGUGGGCGCACAGUGAUGGUGGUAGUUGGAAGAAACAUUCCUGUCACAUUAAUAGAUAUGGACAAGGCUCUCUUGUAUUUCAUCCAUGUAAUGGAUCACAUUGCUGUGAAGGAAUAUGUAUUAGUAUAUUUUCACACACUGACCAGUGAAUACAAUCACCUGGACUCUGACUUCCUGAAGAAACUCUACGAUGUUGUUGAUGUCAAAUACAAGAGGAAUUUGAAGGCUGUUUAUUUUGUUCAUCCAACAUUUCGUUCAAAGGUAUCAACAUGGUUUUUUACCACCUUUUCUGUCUCAGGACUGAAGGACAAAAUCCACCAUGUGGACAGCCUCCACCAGCUAUUUUCUGCCAUAUCACCAGAACAGAUUGAUUUUCCACCUUUUGUCCUUGAAUAUGAUGCCAGGGAAAAUGGGCCUUACUAUACAUCUUAUCCCCCAUCACCAGAUUUGUGACCUGCCAUCUUUUAGCACUACUGGUUUCCAGGGACGUCACUUUCUCCACGAAUUGCUACCUAUUGAAGUGAUAUUCAUUUUUGCUCUUCAGAUCCAGAGAGCCUUUUGUCCCCACCUCUCUGGUAUUUUUUUAUUGACUGUAUAUUUUCUGGCACAUAAGCAUUCUGAAAAUGUUGCACUUGCUCAGCCAAGUUCCCUGGGAGGACCAGAGUUCAAGAAUUAGCAGCAGAGUUAUCAGUCAACUUAAAGUUAGGUAAGUGAAUGCACAGUUCACAGUUCACAGCGGACAUGCUGCACAGUUGUUUUCUUUGUAAAACACUUAGUAUAAGACCAGAACUAUGAGGUGCUAUCAUUUCCUUGUUGAAUCCAUCCUGUUUCUAUGGAAAAUGUUGUCUUAGUAAAGUCGGGUUGGAGCCUCACGUACCCCCAUGGGAGUUACACAAGGAGUGAGAAAAAGGCAAGAACCCCAUUUUUUUUUUUUUUUUUUUUAGUUUUUAGUGGAGUGGCAUAGGGUAAGACUACUCUGCAUCUAGGGCUUUUUGUUUGUCUUGUUUUUAUGUUUAUAUAAUUUAUUGUGACAUGUAUCAAAAUCAAGUUGUAAAUAUAAUACCAUCCUAUAUAAUAUAGAUAUAAUCUUAUGGAUAUAAAAGCUCUUGUGACUAUACCUAUUUCUAUUCUAGUUUUAUGGAGUAUAUCCUUUAUUGGUAUGUGCAUUUUUUAAUUUUCUCUUUACUUUUUUUGGCAUCUUUAUUGAAAUGUAAUUCACAUAUCAUAAAAUUCAUCCAUUUAAAAUGUAUACUUCCGUGGUUGUUAGUAUGCUCAGUGUUAUACAGCCAUCACCACCAUCUACUUUUAGAACAUUUUAACACCCUAAAUGGAAGCCCCAUACCCAUUAAGAGUCAUUCUCCAUUCCCACUCCCCUCCACCCUUCCUCCUGCGUUGUUUGGACUUUACUCCUCCCUCUAAGACACAACUCCAUGUUGCACGAUUGGUAGAAGAGUGUCUCAAUAAGUAUCUAUUGAAUGAAUUAAUACCCACAUAGGUCCCUAGCCAUAGCAACUGAGGAGUAAUUGAAAGGGCAGUGGAAUCAGUGUCAAAAGACUAGAUUCCGAUCCUGACUGAUGCUUAACAGGAGUGCUGUUGUGGCUAUGGAGUCACUUAGCCGUACUAAGCCUCAGUUUUCAUACCUAUAAAACAUUGAUAGCAGUGUCUACUUCACAAGAUGGUUGUGAGAAUCACCCGAGAAGAUAUGGUCACAACACUUGGCGCAGUGCCUGGCCCACACUAAGAAAGUCACUGACAUUUGUUCUUGGUAAAAGAGAAACCCCUAUGUUGGUGACCGGGGGAAAUGCCUGCUACCAGAUUGGACAUUAGAGAAAUCUGGCAGCAGGCAUUUGCCCUGGUCGCCAACCUAGGGGUUCCAAGUAGUGGCAUAGCUCCUUCUUAUUGCCAUUCUUCCCAGUUUCCUUCCUCACGAGAGAGAAUUCUAAAGUACAACUUCCAGCUGUUCACUCUCCCUUGACCUCCCAACUGCGGCCUCUCCCGUUUCCUCUCCAGCACGAUCGCUGCGUCCUCCUCACGUGUGGUGUUGAUUCUCAUGUAGUAGCUACUCCAUAAGCUACUUUGUACAGAAGCGAGCGUGUCCAAUGUCAAUGCCUAAUUUAGGCAACUGAUAGCCUGGGACUGAUUGCCAGGCCUUUCAGGGACAAGGGGACGUAUUUAACUCUACUUUUCUCUCAUAGCCACCACCUCCCCCUGCCUCUCGAGUUGCCUUAGCAGAUUUGCUAUACAUGCAUCUUACAAAAACAUCCCGACACAGUAGUAAUGAAAUAAUAGCAGCUGUCAUUUACAGGAUACCAGACAUUGCGAAUAUAUUAUCCCUAACUCUUAAAAUAAACUUGCAGGUUAGAUUGUUUCCCCCAUUUUACAGAAGAAAAAAAAGAGAAGAAACGGGGAGCACUAAAGAAACUGCCCAUCAGGUAAUUUUAGGGAAUACGUUUUGGAAAGGCAGAGAAGAUUGGGUAAAUCUGUCUAUACAGAGUGUCUUCCUUAAGCUAUCAGGCUGUCCAUUGUAUGGCAUUUGGUCUGGUAUAUAGAAGCAUAGACCUCAAUUCAAAUCCCAGCUCAGCCGUUUACUGGCUGUGUGACCCAGACAUGUCUCCCAACCUCUUUGAAUUCAGCCCUCUUAUAUGUAAAGAGUGCUUACCUCUUAGAGUUAUUCUGAGGAUCAAAUGACUUAAUACUUCCAAAAGUCUCAUAAACACUAGCUGGUGUCUCAUUUAAGUAUUCUAAUUGCUGUGAUCAAAAGUGUCUCACUUUCCAGACUUAAUCUUGGCUCUCUAAUCUUAAAUUAUGUCACAUUCCCAGUUCAGAAGAUGAUGAUGUAUUUGGUAUGUCUUUCCUUCAAGAGAAAAUGACAUUUUAAGUCAGGAGUUGGCAAACUUUUUUGGUCAAGGGCCAUAUCAUAAAUAUUUUAGGCUUUUCAGGCCAUAUGGUCUCUGUCACAACCAUUCAGCUCUGCCACUAUAGCAUGAGAGCAGCCACGGACAGUACUUGAGCAAAUGGGUGUGCCUGUGUUCAAUAAGACUUUAUGGAGACUGGAAUGUAAAGUUCAACUAACUUUUCAAGUAUAACAAAAUAAUAUUUUUCUUUGUUUUCAACCGUGUAAAACUAUAAAAGUACACUCAGCUUGAGGGCCAUGUGAAAAUAGGCAGCGGGCCACCGUUUGCCAACCCCCGUUUUAAAUAAUUCAGUGUUUCUCUAAAACUGAUGAAUCCAGUAGAGGCCUAAUUAAGAAAAAGCAAUUUGGAGAAAGAAAAAAUCAAGAGCCAGUCAGUGUAUCAACUAGCUAGCCCAGAUCAGAGCUAUGUAUCGAUCACUCCCUUGCCUAACACAAUUCAUGCAACCCCUUUGAGCUUAACCUUUGUAUCUACAAAAAUGAAGAUAGCGCUACCUCUCUGACCUACGCCUACUUCCUCCGGGCGAUGGGCGAUGGGAGUUUUAUAAUAAUGAUUAUUUAUUGUAUUUAUACCUUUGUACAAGAUAUUUGACUCAUUUUUGUUCUUAUCCUCUUAUUCCUACUUUACAGAUGAAGCAGGGAGGCUCAGAGAAGCAAAAAACUUGCCCAGGGUUCUAAACCCCAUAAGCCUGCCCAACCCACUCAGUAGAAUACAGACUGCAUGGGAAUAGGGAGCUCAUUGGACUCAUUACGUGUUAUAUGCCCAGUGCCUAGCCUAGUACCUGGUAUAUAACGGACAUUGCGUAAAUGCUUGUGCAAUGAAUGAAUGAACGAACAGACGAAUGAAUGAAUGAAUUUUCCCUUAUGUCAGUGGUUCUUCAUCUUUUCUUAGGUCAGGGACACCUCUGAGAAACUAUUUUAAAGGUCUGGAUCAUCUCUCCAGAUAUAUAUCAAACUAAGAAACCUUACAUUAAGUAUUUGGCCCACUAUUGAAAGAAGAUGUUUAUGUGUUCUGAAUAAUGUUGAUCACAGUUCUUUUCAUAAGCAUGGAAACAGGAUUUGGAGAUGUCUUAUUUCUUUCCUUUUCUUGAAAUAAUUAUAUCAAGGGCACUAAACAUUAAGGCCUAACAUGUUUUCUGUAGUCACUCAUGGCUCCCAGGCAUAUUUCUCAAAACUUGAUUCCCUUAAAAGUCACUUUCUCAAAAAUUACCACUUAAAAAAUGACAUUUAUUGGUCCCAAGUGCUUCAACAGGAAAAGUGAGAAACCACAGCCUGUUAGGACUAACAUGCAAUUUUUUGCCUUCAGAAAUACAGUUGUGAGGGUAACAUUCACAGCUCACUGCUCAGAAGCCACUGGGAUCUGCGUCCAGCGUGUUACUCAGGAUUGGCCUUCUGCUGCUUCUCCUUCUUGUCAUUUACUUACCACAUCGCAUUCCAUACCAUGGUCUCCUGUUAAGGAGAGAGAGGGUUAUUAGUAUUCAGACAUUAAAUUCAGAUGUUACUGAUUUUUAUUUUCUCCUCUAAAGCAUCUGCCGUUUACAUACUCUCAUCAUUUACAUCAGAACCUUUAGGUCAUGACUCAUUUCAGGUAAACUGUGAGAUUAAGGGUAUUUUGUUUUCACGGAGUGCUAUAAAAACAAAGUCUGUUGCUGACGGAGACUUAAAAAAGAACAUUCAGGUACUGCAUUCACUUGCUCCUCCCUUUGCACUCCCUUUACUGCACCCCCCCCCCCCACCAGCCCUUGACCACCCCCCCUCCCCCCGAAAGAAGUUGCUUUCUAAAACAUGAGUAUUACUGUGUUUCUGGGAUAAGUCACUCUAUUCACGCUUUGGUCAUGGUGUGCCAUUUAAUAUUCCCCAUGGCACUUACCGCCAGGGCUCAUAUUCAACCACAUCAAUUGUUAAAAGUACCAAAAUAGCUGCCAUCCUGAGCCCUGCAGGUGGCCUUUACUACCCCCAUCCUUCCCCCAGGUUCCCUGGAUCUCCACACAAUCCUAGCAACUAAAGGGUUAAUACCACCUGCCCUUCCAGCACCCUAUGCCAAGACUAUGGCUAGCACCUCUUCUGAUUGGUCAGUGCCACAUUUAUUAAAUACUACAUUUAUUGCCAUAUUCAUAUAUAUCUAUAUCAAUAUAUAGGUCAUAUAUAUAUGAAUAUAUAUAUGUAUAUAUGAAUAACUAGGGACAUAGACUUUCUGUUUUGUUCAUUGCAGUGUUCUCAAUAUCUCCUUGAACAGUCGCUGACAUGUAGUAGGUUUUUAAAUAAUUGCUGAAAGCAAAAUGUAUUUAUGCUUAUGGUAUCCAAGAAGUAAGAUCUGAAGCAGGAGAAUCACUUGGUCAAUCAGGAUUUGGGAACUACUUGAUGAGUCCUAGGAGCAGGAAAGCCAUAAAAAUUAAGAGGAUCCCCAUAUAAUACAUUUUUUAUGGAUAGCCAAAUUUUCUUUCCUUUGGUUAGCAACUUUGCUUCACAACAUUUACUCUGAAUAAUUUGCUUCCCUCCCCCCCGGGGAAGGGCUGUUAAGUGAGGAUUGGGUUUCAGGUCCCAAAUUGCCUCAUUAAUGACCAAAUACUAGACCUGGAGGUAGAAGCUGAUUUUCUACCAAGCCAACAAGAUGUGGAAACCUGUGGGAAGGCUCUGAGGUGAUGAGACAGCCUUGCAGAGGAGUUUUGUGCAGUCUUCUAGGAUGGUGGAGACUGAGUCACCCAUAAAACGAGCCAGAAAGCCUAAGUGGCCAGAGCCGUUCCUGUCCUUCCCGACAGCUGGGCCUUCACACACACACACACACACACACACACACACACACACACACGCAGAGAGAGUGGGCACUGAUGAAUGCUUAAUACCUACCCCUGGAGCUACCCUCAGGUAAAGUUACCCCACACGAACCUGGGCACCGUCGUCAACAUGCCUCUCUUGCCAGGCUAGGUAGACAUACAAGAGAUGCUUGUGUCACAUCACCUCGGCAGAGUCCAAACAAUUCGGUGUGGUGCAUUCUUACGAAUUCCCUAACACUUCCUGCCUUUCCUUAAUAUCCACCUGUGAAUGUCUCUGAACUUCGGAAGCUAUUCCAAGCCUAUGCCAUCCAUUAUUUUUUUAUUUUUACUCUGUGAGAUACAAUCUUACAUGUGUUCCAGAUUUGUCUUUUUCAGUGUUCAAGGACUACCUGCUAAACCUGGCAUUUUAUAACUUGGUGAUUAUUUAGUUCCGCGCUCACCUCCCUAAUGCCUCCUGUCUUCAUGUAAUCAUCCCCAGAUGAAUGUAGCUCUUCAAGAGGCCCCGUGUGCUUGGGGGACCUGCCAGGCACCCGGAUGCUAACCGUAAACUACCUCUUGGGUCCAUUACUCUUCUCCAUCACACCAAAGAGGUGCUCUAUUUUCUCCCUCAUGACAGCAAAAUGAUUGAGGUGAAACCAGAUGGCACUCUGCCUCCUCGUUUCAGCUCCCAUGCCAUAAACAAGUCUCCUGGUUUUGGUUCAUUUAGUGCCAGGUGUUUUGCAUUUUUGUUCUCUGUUGAUUUCUCUGUUUAAAAUGGCUCCCAGUGCAGCACUCGAGUGCUGUCUGGUAUUCCUAAACGCAGGAAGGCUGUGAUGUUCCUUAGGGAAGAAAUAAAUGGGCUAGAUGAGCUCCGUUCAGGCAUGAGUUGUACGGUGCCGUUGGCCACAAGUGUUAGUGAGUCAACCAUAUAAGGGAUCUUUAAACAGGAACAUACAGAAAACAAAGUUACGGAUUGAUUGGUUGGUGAAAAAUGUUUUGACCAGAGGCUCAGUGAGUGGAACCUCGUAUUUCUCCUAGCAGCAGUGUUUCAGGAUUCACUGAUUUAGUGUCCCAGCACCUUUAUAAAACGUAACUACCACAAACAAUAAGAAUCAGUUGCAGUUGUGAGCAACUGAAUCCACUAUAUUUGUUCUACUAAACAGUUACUAGACACAAGUUUACUUACUACCUACUCAGAAAAUCCUUGUUAAGCAGCUACCAUGCACUGGGCUGUAGGAACACAGGCUUGCACAAGAGGGUCAGAGUCCUUAACUUCAUGCAUCUUCUAGCCUGGUGGGGACAUUUGUAAACAUGCAAGACAAGUGUGAAUCUGAUGUUAACGACCAGUUCUGUCACAACAAGGGAUAGACAAAAUCCUUGGCCAGGGGGGACUAGGCAGAUGUCUGUUCGUCAGUUCUUGCCCACCUAUCCUGUCAGUCCUCCUAUCUGUAUUAAAAUGUACUCACCUACCUGAAAGUUCCUCUUCACUCACUCCAGCAUCCAGGGAGAACCUUGAUAGGCGACAAGUUAAUAGGUCCUUCCCCACUUACAAGAGAGCUCUGGGGAAAGCCUAGUCCAAGUGUUGCAAAGAGGUUAUGUUUGGACAUUAACUGAUCACAGAUGCUUGCAUCACUGUAAUGAGAAUGACCAGGGCGCCCUCCUGGGCUGAGCAGGGAAAAGUUCUGGAAUCUAAUAGUAAUAACUGGUGUAUUUUGUAUUUGCCUAACUCCCCAUGGCUGCCCUAUAUCUGAUAUUGGAAUGUCUGGAAGCACACAGGGUCAUUGAUCCACUUACUGUAUGGUAAUAAAUACACAGACUUUCUGCUUAAUCAGGGCUAGACUGUGAUUCUAAACCCUCUUGCUGUGCACUUCAUGGUUUUCCAUAUGAUUCUAAGAAUCUGCCUCAUCCAAAGUGUCCUGGGUCACACUCCACAGUCUCUCUUUAAAUACUGACAUCUGCCCUUUGAACUUGUCUGGGGACCACGUGCCCAUCCUCAGAAAGGGAACCACCAACUCCCUGCUUGUAUUUGUGAUGGCUCAGUCCCUGCCAGCCUCUCCCUCUUCCAGCAGAAUGUCAUCAGGAGGCUAAUACAUGAUUUAUGAGAGCCUCGUGCUCAUCUAGAUCCUUUCUCAGCAUGCCGGUCUGUAUCAGCCGUCUGCUUGUGUGAUCCAGGAUCGUGUGGGACCCCUCCAGUCCGCUAGAGACAGGUGACCUUAUUGCCCAGCAACAAAUUUCAGAGACUUCUUUGCCACUGAGUAGUUGCUCUGAUUUCAAGUUUUAACAUUCAGAAUCUUCAGAAAAGAUGCAGAAUCUUCAGCUAUAUUUCUAUUGCUACAGACAUUUCUCUCGCUAUUUGCUUCUUGGGAAAUCCUUGCAGUAAUCAGAUUGCCCAAUGUUAGACAAUUCUUCAAACAUAGCUUUGGAUGCAGCCUGCUGUGUAAUACUCCCUUUGCAUUUUUGCAGUGAGAAAAGGAGUUUUAUUAACCCUCCAGGUAGGUUUUGGUGAAAGACAGAAACUUUGCAUCUAGAGGGUGCGCUGUGCAGUGUCUGUUUUGAACACCACACUAUUCACUGUGCUGAGCACGAUACCUGUACUAUUUAUUUUUAAUAAAUAUUUGGGCUAACUGCUCUCUUGGAUUCUCACAUUAAUUGGAAGCCCUGCCCUUUAUAGUUACUUCUGAACAUGACAUUAUAAAUAUGUACUUCUUGACUACACUACAUUUUAAAAAUAGCUUACUUACUGCUGAGCUAUGAGCAGUAUUUAACUGACACCCAUUUUUAUUUUUUUGCUUGUUUUUGUUGUUUUUUACUUUAUAUUGUAAUAUUACUAUGAAAAACAAGUAGGCAUGUAUCUAUAAAGCCAUGCAUUACAACCAGGGGGUAGAGAAGGUAGGAAGAAGAGGCAGGAAAAUCAGUCUUGCCUUGUUUACAUAUCUAAAUAGCUAAAUGACUUUCGGUGUAGAAUGAGUUAUCUGCAAAGAAGGUAUAAAAGACGGAUAUAUGUUCAUCAAAAAUGCAUUCUUUAGCAAAGGAGAGUGUGUGUUCCAUUGUAGAAAGAAAGGCUUAAUAGUGUGCUGUGUUUUAAGGGUUGAAGAUUCUUUUUCCUGCUUUCCUCGUUCAUUGCACUUAACUUGUUAGAGUGUUGGCAGAAGGAACACAGGGCUCUGGAAUUACAAGACCUGUGUUUGAAACUUAGCUUCUCCAUUUUCUUACCUACCUGGCCUUUAUCUCUAGACCUUAUUCUUGCCUUAUAAUUAUACUGCAUCACCUCAAAACGUAGCUGAAGGUAAAUUAGAAACUAGAAAGCGCAAUAUCCGACUAGAAAAGUAGCAUCGUCACAUCCUUUGUAAAUAAGAUCAACCCCCUGACUCUGGAUAUUGUCAGAAUUCACCAGAAUUACAUCUUUUAUGAAAGGCUUCUGCUCACCCAAGUCUAAUGUAAUAAAUGCAAGGACUUUGCCAAGGCAAAUUCCUGAAAAGAACACAGUGCAACAGAAGCAGUUCACAAAGUCCUGUGAGUUUUGGUCAAUGAUUACAUCCUGUUGCAGUGUUAGCAAGGGUUGGCAACCAACCUGGAGAUAGAGAAAAGAAGUGACGAAAAUGUCAAGAUUCCUCAAGCAGAUAUGUCACGGAAUGAAUUAGAGUAGACUAGGACAUUGUGUUCAGCGAUAAGGGCCAGGAGGUUUGGCCAUGUCCUUACCAAAUUAUUACUGUCCUGUUUGAAGAAUCUCACUUUGCCGUGAAGUGUUGAAAACAAAUGCAUUCCAGCAGAGAGUUGUCAGUCCUGCCCUUUAUUCUGGAUGACCUACGGACAGGAAUAGCAUACUGUACUUUCUUGUCUUAUAGUUUUAACCCUUCCUGUUUUUCAAACAAACAUUUAGGACUUGUGGUAUGACAGUUGCAAAGUGAUCGUUUGAGGGGAUGAGCUUUAUUUGAAUUUGCAGCUAUUCCAGAGAGACUGCACGGUAAUCGUGUCCUUGUUCGGUCAUGGUUUCAGUGAAGUGUGACCUUGUAGAGAUUUUUCCAGAGGGAAUCAGAUCUGAGAGUAUGUUGAACUCAACCAAAUUUUGCAACAUGUCUAAGAACAUUCCUUUGGGCACUCCUGAGUUGGAUUUUUAACUCCCUUAGCUUCAGGUGGGAGGAAGGCACACAGGAAUAGAAAAGGUAUGUUCUCCAUGUUUUCCCCCGGAAAUUUGUUUGCCAGAAGUCUCCUGAGUCCAGCCCACUAACUCCAUGGUUCCCCAGCACGUUCUCCCACUGGGUGAACCAAGAGGCUCCGUACUCUUCUCUCAACCUCUUACCAGAGAAACUGAUCUUCUGACCCAGGUUAUCAGGCUUUGACCUUUGGCACAUUUGUCCUGGUGUCCUUAUACAGAUAAGCACACUUGAAAAAUGGGCUAGGUGAGAAAGAAAAGAAAAACUGGUACCAAUGAAGCGACCAAAGGAAAAAUGGGAAAGGAGCUACCAGGAAGUUGAAGAAGGGAAAUGGAAAUGGAUAAUGAGGUGGUGGGGGAAGAGUUUUCUUGAAGAACAUGCUGUAUCAGAGGGUCACUAUGACCAGCUCAAAGAAAAAAUUCUGACAGAACUUCUCUCUUUCUUCCCAGGGGUCUCUGAUCAUAGAUCACACACCAGUGAGUCUGGGAGAAGAAGUGGAGGUAAAAGGUCAGGUUUCUGAGCAUCCUAAAUUCUGCCUCACAGUCCUUUACGGAAACUAUGUUCCUGCCUUGCAUAUUUAAAGCCAUCAGUAGGCAGUGAUAACCUCAGAGAGAGGCUGAAGUAGUGUGGAGGUAAAUUGUAAUAACUAGUAUUUAUAAUCCUUUACCACAGGCCAGGCAGUAUUCUAAAUAUACGAACACAUUGGAUUCUCCCAACAAUCCUGGGAGGCUAGAACCUUUGUUAUCCCCACUCUACAGAUGAGGAAACUGAGGCACAAUUAGAGUCAUAUUAGUGGCAGGGCCAGGAUUUGAACCUGGUGUUAAAGUAUCCAGGCCUCCAGUUUGCCAACUAAUAGUGGCAGGCAGUUACUUUCUUAAGGAUACCUGUGAAUUGGUGGUGGGAUCAAUGGGAAUUCAGACUCUUAGGCUCCCCACACAGCUUUGUGAACCCCACAACUGGCACCAGUGUUAAAGUCUGUCGAACACUGUUGAAGUAUUUAAUGUUGAGCUUUAUACAAAGUAACCAAGAAUGUGCUAGCAACUAAAUGAGAAUAUAUAUUUGAUCUUAGAACUGAGUAUUUUGUCCUGUCAUUUAACAUUUAUUUGCCCUUUGUAUGACAAGAUUUGUCUUGGCAACCACCCAUAUAACUGCAUGUCCCAGUAUGACAAGAAAUGGGCAUUCUCCUGUGGUAACUUGGAACAGAAUGUUCCUGAUAUGGAGAGACUAGGUUCCAGGGUUAAAUGUAUAGUUACAGUCAGAAAAAAAACAGAUAUUUGGUACACCAGGACUCUAGGGUUACUCAUUUGUUCUCUUUGGACAACUUCCAGAUGUGCUUUGGCCAAAUUAAUCAGAAAGAUGAUUUUCUCUUCAUCUCUGCCCCAUUCCCUGUAUUAGAGACCGGAACCUUAGCUACACAAAUUCAUGUUGGACGUAGGACUCAAGCUGAGCUGCAAAACAUACUUGUUUCCAUUGUUUCCACUAUCUUUAGUUUUUUCAGCAUGAAUUUCCAUGCUGCAUGUGAAGAACAAGCCUUUCAUUCAGACCUCAAGGUUCCAACAAUAGGGCCCCAGCCCAUUUUUACAGCCUCGUCUUUUCCCACUACUUUCCUUCACCUCCAACACAUUGGGCUGACUCCUGGCAGAGUUUCUGCAGCUCUGAACUUCUACUGUUCCUCUGAGUAUCCUUUAAGCCCUGUCAUAAACCCUAUCCUCCAGGAAACCUCCACCAGUUCUCCUAACUUCAUUGAUCUCCCCCACCCUGAACUUGAUCCCUAUUUGAAGGCCCUUACUGUUAACCUCCCUGGUAAAAGGAUCCUUUGUGUUCCUGUCCCGUGCCCCAUGUUCCUCCGGUGGAGGAGUGUGUGGCUUACAAUACCUUUCUUAAACAGCCUCACUCUGCUUUGUGCCUUGCCUGAUGUGUAUGUACAUUGUGAGGGGACAUGUCAUCGAUAUCCAAUGUUAACCAGAGAAGGAAUCUUACAGAUUCACUUGUAUCACCUUUUCAUUUUAUAGAUGAGAAAAAGAGGUGUGCAAAGGUCAACCACCCAAGGUCAUUAGUGACAUGGUGGCAGAGCCAGGCCUCUUGGCUCCCUGUACAUUACCAUCCUUCUAAAAUGUGGAGGGUCACAUGAUGUCAAGGGAGAAUAUUUGGGGGGUUGUGAAAUUGUAUGGACUGUUUAUAUCCUGAUGGGAAUAAUAGAGCAGAGAGGGGAAAUUGAUGAUAAAAUUAUUGCAGGGGGGAAAUUGUUGAGUAUGUGAGAGGGGAUAGAAUCUGGUGCAGGACUUCGAAAAUAUCCUGGACACUUUACCCAUUGCGACAGUAGGGGACACUGAGUAUGUGGGUGUAGUUGUAGGUAUAUUGGUAGAUAAUCAAGAGAAUGUGGACAUUUUUUCUUGAACUCUCCUGUUUUUUUCUUUUGAUUAAGAGAUAGGGUUUUUAGCUGAAAAUGAGGAAGAGGGAAAAGGUUUUAGAGGUUUGAAAUGAGAAGAGAGAAAAGUUGUCUGGGGAGUGGAAAAAGGAAUCAAUGAAGGAAUUCUAGCAUGAUUGUGGUCAGCACUUACCACUUGAGGUUUGUGGUCAAGCAGUGUUUUCCAGGCUUUUGGCCCUCUGGACAUUUAGCAUCUCUGGCCCUUAGUAAUACCCCUCACUGAUUGUGAUGAUCAAAGGAACUCCCAAUCACAUUUCCAAACGCCCCCUAGGGGACUGAUCUAUUCCUAAUUGAGAAAAACUAGGACACCAGUCACAAAGAAGCAUGCUUUUCUGUAGUCACAUUCACCUGCCGGCAGGAAGUAGGCAGAAAUCUGAAUUUAGGACUCUUGGGGUUUGACAGUCAAGAACAUGGGCAGGAGAAGAGGGGGAGGGGGAUUGAGGGUAUAUGUAAUGGAGUGAUUGUAACAGUCAGAUUUUCUGAGUGACAGAAGGCCCGCGGCUGGCUCAAAGCAACUCAGGAACACCCCAGUGGUGGAGGAUUUCUGGCGACCAUUCAGGGGCUUUUGGAUAUGUGUCCAAUUUCUGGCUAUUACAAGUAAAGUGUUAUGAACAUUCUGGUACAUAUGUUUGGGUGGACGUAUACAUUCGUUUCUCUUGGGAAUAUAGCCAGAGUGGGCUUGAUGGGUCAUAGGGAACAUGUUCAUUUAGCUCUAUUAAAAACUGCUGCUCAUCUGUUUAAAGGUUACAGGUACCCCUACCUAUGAUUCAGUCAUUCCAUUUAUCCAAGAGAAAACAAGGCAUAUGUCCACACAAAGACCUGUACAUUAGUGUUCAGGGCUGCUUUAUUUGUAAUAGUAGAGAACUGGAAACAGCACAGCUGUCCAUCAAUAGGUGCAUAGAUCAACAAAUGGGGUACAGCUGUACAAUGGAAUACUACUCAGCAAUAAAAAAACAAUAGCUAAGUCAACAUGGAUGAAUUCUAAAAUCAAUAUGUGAGUAAAAGAACUGGGUACAAAAAUACCUACUCUGUGAUUCCAUGAAUAUAAAAUCCUAGAGAAGACAAACUGAUCCAUAGUGAUAGAAAGCAGAUCAGCGGUUGCCUAAGUAUCAAGUGGUGGGGAAUAGAGAGAAGGAAUGGGUUCCAAAAAGCACUAGGAAAUUUCUGGGGGUGGUGGACAUGUUUAUUUUCUUGACUGUGGCAAUUGCUUCAUGGGUACAUACAUAUGUACAACUCACCAAGUUAUACACGACAAAAAUAUGCAAUUUAUUGUAUAUGAAUUACACCUCAGAGCUACUAAAAAAAAAUUAACCUACCGAAUGGUUUUCCAAAGCGGUUGAACCAAUCUGUACUCCAUCAGCAGCGUGUGAGAAUUCUAGUUGUCUACCACAUUGUUGCCAACAUUUGGUUCUAAUCAGUCCUUUUAAUUUUGGUGGUAGUGUGGCGGUAUCACAUUUUUGGUUUUCAUUUGCAUUUUCCUGAUCAAAUGACAUUGAGCACCUUUUCAUCUGCACAUGGGUCAUUUGAAUAUCCUCUUCUGUUAAAUGCCAACUUCAAGUGUUUUCCCAUUUGUCUGUUGAAUUCUUAGUCUUUUGAUUUGUAGGUCUUUGUGUAUUUGGAUGAGGCCCUUGUCAUGACAGGGAGGGAGGGAGUUCUCUUCUCAGUCUGUCACCUCCCUUUUGACUCUAUGAAUGUUGUCUUUUGAUGAAGAGUUCUUAAUUUUAAUGGAAUCCAAUUUAUUAAAUAUUUCUCUUGUUUAGUGGUUUUUACAUCUUGUUUUAAAAAUGUUUGCCUACCUAACGUUGUAGAGAUACCGUCUGUGGUUUUGUUUUGUUUUGUUUUGGUUUGGUUUGGUUUGGUUUGGUUUCUGGUAGGAUAUUGCUUUAACAAUCAUAUAUACAUGUCUAUGUUUUUAAAAAAAUUUUUUUGGUAUACUGUGAAAUAGAGUGUGAAAUAAAGGAUCAAUGAACCUUUUAUUUUAAGGGAUUUCAGUUGGCCCAACAUUAUUUAUUGAAAAGACCAUCCUUUCCUGUACUGAAUUGCGAGGACGUCUUUGUCACAAACCAAGCAGCCAUAUGAAAACCAUUUCUUAUGCCUUAUUUGUAGUUUUCUUCUGCUGCGUUUACAGGCUUUGUAUCAAAGCUAUGCUUUGAACACAUAGGUGUUCUUUACACCCUUUUUUUUUUUUUUUACAAUUUUUGUUGUAAGUUUUAAAGUAUUU